UGCGCAGGCGGACCAAUAAGUCAGUGGUGAAAUCUCGGGGCUCAACCCCGAAACUGCCAUUGAUACUGCUGGUCUUGAAUACGGUUGAAGUAGGCGGAAUGUAGCAUGUAGCGGUGAAAUGCAUAGAGAUGCUACAGAACACCGAUCGCGAAGGCAGCUUACUAAGCCGAUAUUGACGCUCAGGCACGAAAGCGUGGGGAGCGAACAGGAUUAGAUACCCUGGUAGUC
rnacentral:rRNA from 1 species